rnacentral:rRNA from 1 species
GUUUAUGCCAUGAAAACACUGGUUCCUGUCUGAUCACCAAAGUUAAGCAACAUUUCAAGCCUGGUUAAUAAUACUCAGAUGGGUGACUGCUUGGCAAAUCUCGGUGCUGUAAACA